CCUAGUACGCUAGUCGCGUCGCGUACUCUUCCGUUCGCGCUGGUGAUUCCGUUCGCUUACCUGUGUAUGUGACAUUUUUUUUCCACGGACCGUUCGCGCUGCUGCAACAUGUUUACCUGGUUGUGCCGCCCUCGUCACGAUAACCAGCGAUCCGUCGUCUAUUCCAUCAUGAGACUCACGUUGCCUUGUCGGCAGCAUUAAAUUCUCAGCUUUGUAAAUCAAAAACUUGGAGAGGAAGUGUCAUGGAUGAUGAAGUGCGUCUCGAAGGUGAAGAGGAGAUGGAGUUGGACGAGGGUUCCGAUGGCGAAGACGAAGAUGAAGAGUCAACAGGAAUCCCAAUAUCUCCAGCUAACUCAGAUCAAUUACUUGGACAGACAACUCCAACGACUCCUGGUAAUGUUACACCAGAUGAGGCUUUUCAUGAUCCGUUGCGAUACUCAAAAUUUCCAUUACCUGGCGGUAAACCUUUGAAUAUUCGUCGUGGACCUGGCAGGCCCCGGAAAGAACGACCUUUUGGUAUAACUCGUGGAGGAGGUACUAGAAGAUCCUUUGGAAGGGGCAGUGCCAGAGUCAAAGGAUUUGGAUAUACAAGGGGUAUACCGCGUCGUACUAAAAGUAAAGAUGAUGAUACACACUCGGAAUCUCCAAGUCCUUUGCGUACAACUGGGAUGGAUGAUAUUGCUCCUGACGGUGAAUUGAUGGGAAACUCGGUUGAUAGGUCAAUGCCAGCGCCGGAGGAACCCCCUUAUUUUCCUGAACAAUGGCCGGGCAAAGUAUGCGCGUUAUGCAAUUUAGGCGAGAGGAGUCAGUUGGGACAAGGUGAACUCUUGCGCCUGACAUGUCCACCGGGUUUCACUCCCGAGAAGCCGACAAACCGUGAUGAAACAGCUACUGAUCAUCUCGUCAACGUCGUCGUCGCAGGAGAUAAAAGUCCGCGUGCUACUGGACCUGGGAUUGCCGUUACCUGUCGUAGGCAAAAAAGUCUAGCCAAAUGCAGGAAUACUAGUCUAACUAAUUUCACAGAACCGGUGGAAGAGUUGACAAUCGUAGGUUAUUUGGAAGAACCGGAUGUCGGGGUUUUGUUUGAUUCCUUGGCCAACCAUUAUUAUGUUCAUCAAUCAUGUAUCAUCUGGUCUAGCAACAGUCAAGAUUUACUACCAGAAUUGACAUGUCGUGCUGUUCUACAAGCUUCUUCCAGACGUUGCGCUUAUUGUUCGCAUUAUGGUGCUGGAAUUCCCUGCAAAGUGGCAUCGUGCAAUCGUUAUUUUCAUUUUCCGUGUGCCGCGGCCAGCAGUUGCUUUCAAGACACUAAGAAUUUGGCCCUUUUCUGCAGUCAGCAUCUCGGCCAAGUUCCGCUUUCAUUGUGUGGGGAGGUAACUUGCGUUCAAUGUUAUGGAAUGGGCGACGUUUCGAAUUUAGUAAUGUGCUCUGUGUGCGGCCAACACUAUCACGGAAGUUGCGUGGGUUUGGCGUUACUACCUGGAGUGCGUGCUGGAUGGCAGUGCGUGUCUUGCCGCGUAUGUCAAGUCUGUCGGCAACCCGAGGAUGUUUCAAAGGUGAUGCUAUGUGAACGAUGCGACAAGGCUUAUCAUCCUGGCUGUUUGCGACCGAUUGUCACUUCUAUUCCAAAAUACGGCUGGAAGUGCAAGUGUUGUCGCGUGUGUACCGAUUGUGGUUCACGUACUCCAGGAGCUGGGCUGUCUUCUAGGUGGCAUUCUCAUUAUACCGUCUGUGAUUCGUGCUAUCAGCAGCGCAACAAGGGUUUCUCUUGUCCGCUCUGCAGGAAAGCAUAUAGAGCUGCUGCAUAUCGCGAAAUGGUCCAAUGUCAUGCCUGCAAGAAGUUCGUGCACGGUACAUGCGAUCCCGAAGCUGACCCGCUUACUUAUCAGCAGCGCAAGGAGACGAAACCGGAUUACGAAUACGUCUGCCUGCAUUGCAAGAGCAUUGCCAUGGUGGCCAGACGGAAGGAUAGUAUCGAUGAAGGCGAUUUAAGUCUGAGUGCUUCUCAAGAGAGCCUUGAUGGCGAGUCCUCUGAGUUAGAUUAUCCAAGUGGUUGUUCCGAAGAAGCGCUUUAUUCUGUUGGAUUAGGGAAAGGAAAACCGUUUUGUGUCACCAAGAUUGCGAAGAAAAGAUUUGGAAUUAGUAGCGGGGUUAUUGGUAGGCCCAAAGGUAUUGGGAAACUGGGUUAUCAGAAGAGGCAGAAGAUGACAGAGUUUGGAAGAAAGAGAGGGCCCAAGGGAAAGAUGAGAGGGUUCUAUGGAGUGCCUGAAGUAGGCUUGCAGAGUCCGAAUCCAGAUUCAUCACAAUCGAAGGAAGAAGAACAGCUUGGGGGUGAGAACAGGUUAAUCCUUUGUUCGGCAAAGGAUAAAUUUGUUUUAACUCAAGAUAUUUGCGUGAUGUGCGGUUCGAUUGGUAUGGAUCAGGAAGGUUGUUUGAUUGCGUGCGUACAAUGCGGCCAGUGUUAUCAUCCAUAUUGCGCUAGCGUUAAGAUCACUAAAGUCAUCUUACAAAAGGGCUGGCGAUGUCUCGACUGUACUGUCUGCGAAGGCUGUGGUGAACGAAAUGACGAAGCUCGUUUGAUCCUUUGCGACGACUGCGAUAUCAGCUAUCACAUUUAUUGUAUGGACCCCCCCUUGGAUUAUGUGCCGCAUGGUACCUGGAAAUGCAAAUGGUGUGCACAAUGUCAGACUUGUGGCUCCAACGAUCCCGGUUUCAAUUCAUCUUGGCAAAAAAGUUACACCCAGUGUGGACUCUGCGCAUCUCAUACCGCUUGUGUAGCUUGCCAAGAAGCUUAUCAGGAGGGUGAUCUCAUCAUUCAAUGCGUACAGUGUGAAAGAUGGCUUCACUGCGGUUGUGAUUUGAUUAAAAGCGAAGCUGAGGCCGAACGCUGCGCUGCGGAAGGUUACGUUUGUCUUCUCUGUCGUCCUAGAGAUGUUCCCCCUCCUCAUCUUCUUUCUAAACCUUCUUCGAAGUUUGCUCGGUCGUCUUCUCCACCUCAAAAUCGAAGUACAGAAUUAUUUAAAGCUUCCUCACAACAAUAUUUGGUGGAAGGAGUAUAUCUUUCCGAAGCUGGGAUGAAUCAUAUUAAAUCAUUAACCGCCGAACAUCAGCAAACAAGAAAAAAGAAAAGAAAACAGCCUCAGAUGGUGGAUAAAGAAGCAGAUAUCAUGGCGACUAUUGAAUCUGUCAUUGCUGGUGGAAGUUUAGACAAUUCUUUAGAGGAAAAUAACAAAUUAGAAUUGAUAGAUGUCAAAGAUGAACCAGAAACAGUAUUGAAAGAAGGUAUGGUAUGGAACCAGCCUGCUCCUGAAGGCUUCAGCAUUUGCACUUCGGAAAAUGGACUUCCUGUUUUGCGAAGAAAACGUCAAAGAAAUUUGCAAAAAUUAGGAAUUGGAGGAUUUAUUGUAAGAUUGAGAACCAGGAAGGACAAAGAAGAAGAAGGAGAUGCUGAGAAAUCUGGGGAAUCUUCAAUCGUAGGAAUGGGAGACGAUAAACCCCGAAGAAAACCUCAGAGAAGAAAGCCAAAAACGAAACUGGCGGAAUGUUUUCCUAUCUACAUGCAAGAAGCGUUUUUUGGUAAAGAUUUAAUGGAUACAACAAAGGAGAAAGAUCUUGAGAGCAGCAGCGAAUCCGAGGAAGAACACAAAGUUCCUGAAAAUGCCAAUACAAUUCAGUUAUCUCAAGACGAAUUGAAGGUAAUGGAACAAGUCAAAGCUAAACAAGAAAAAGAAGACGGAAAGAUUGCUCCUGAGCAAAUCAAAAGAGAAGAAAUCGUGGAAGAUGACGGAAGUGAUACUGAAGCACUCGGAGAUAUUUUACCAAUUUCUGGAGAUUUGUUGGAUAGCGAUCUAGUGAAUACAAUAAUGAACGAAAACGAUGAGGACUUAGCGAAGGCGAGCGAAGCAUUGGACGAGUUGGAUGAUGCACAAGGUGGAAGUAAAGAUGAAUUGACAGAUAUUCUCAGUCCACAUUUUAAUUUGGAGUCGAUGGUCAGAGAUACUGGAUUACCUAAUAUGGAUAGUAAAGACAUCGAGGAAAUAUUUAAAGGCGUUCUGACCGAUGAAUCUCAGGAGUCUCAGGAAUCAUCAGUGUUUUCUGUUCAAGCUCAGACUUCGCAUCCCUCAUCGUCUACUACCCCUCUAGUAUCACCCUCUCCCCAUCCCGGUAUUCAAACAGCAAUGCCUCUGGCGAGACCUCAAAUACCUGGUGCUCUACCCUCGGUUGGUCAAUCAAACUUAAAUUCCCCAAUGAGUUUUCCACCGCCUUCACCAUAUCACUCCGAAUACAGCAAUAGUCCACAGUUUAGUCCGGCAUUUUCGGAGCCACCUAGUCCAUGGGUGAAUCCAGAAGACGAGGGAAACGCUCCAGCAGGCAAUGCUACCAUUUCAUACAACCAAAGAAGCAAUCAGAAGCUGGAAGCCGACGAAGCAUUGGGCAAGGCAGCAACAACAGCCUCAGUUCUCUAUGCUAAUAUGAAUCAUCCUGAAUGGAAAACUGAAUAUCCAGUGUGGGCCGAGAGAUGCAAGCAAAUUCUGAAGAAAUGGCGAGCACUUCCAACCGAUAAGAGAAGUCCAUAUUUAAAUCAAGCUCGAGAAAAUCGAACCGCAGCUCGCUUGAAAAAGGCACAACAGCUCUCCAAGGAGACACCACCACCAAGCACCACCAACACUAUCAUCACUACCAAUAUAACCACCACCAAUACCACCACCAUCAAUAUCAACACCACUACUACUACUACUACCGCCAUGACUACCAUCAUCACCAAACCUGCCGCUAUGACGGCUCAGCAGCAGCAACAGCAACAGCAGGGAGUGGGUCUGAGGCCCAUUGAGAAGCAAUCAGGAAUGUUGAUGACCACUGGAAUGACAUCAACUGGCAACAAUCAACAUCAGGAGGUGUGUGGGGUGCAGGGAACCCCGCUCAGCCCCUCCCUCUCCCCUGAGGCUCCUAGAAACCUACAGUCGUCCACCUUGCAAUCUUGCACAACACCGGCUUCUUCGUCCUCUUUGUCUUCUUCUACGUCUUCUUCCUCUUCUUUUUCUCAUUGCAAUAAUUCGGGUGAAGGGCAGCAACCCCUCCAGCAACGUCCACCUCCGAUUGUCAUUAACAGCGGCGGGAGUAAUAGCAUAGAUCAGCAUCAGAUCCGAGUGCUCACUCCGUCCGAGAUCAUGCGCACCCUUCCGUCCCUCAGCCAGGAGCACUACGACCCCCCACCUCCGCCAACACCACCCACUGCAAUUGUUCACACUGUGCCUCCCGUACAGAACCAUCACCACCACCACCACCAUCACCACCACCACCCGAAUAACAUCAUGGAACAAGACAGACUAUCAAACAGAGAUCGAUCUACCAGAGAAGCUGAGCAGGAAAGACAAUGGAAACAACUGCAAGCCUUGCGUCAACAACAAGCACAAUUACAGCAGCAGGUCAUCCAUGAGCAACGCGUACAUGCAAUUGCCAGAGUACAUAGACAAAUGAACGAAGAAAAUGUACCACAAUUAAUUAGUGAUACUGCACCCGCAUUAACGGCACAGUUACAAGUUUCCACGGCGCAAGAUACAAGUCAAUUGACUUCCUUAGCUUCUCCUUCCCGAAGUACCUUCGCUACGCCUUCACUUAAGACUCCUCGUAGUCUCACACCUCAGUCACCCCAUCAUCAAACUAUGGUACGUCUGCCUACGCAAGUUCCUUGCCGGCCGAUACGUCCGGGUUUUCCUCAACCACCGUCUCCCUUCUCACCGCAGGCACCCCAGUCACCUCAUGAUUUUCCACAGUCCCCUGCCUCUUCUCAACCUUCUCAGGAGUCACAUUUCCAGCGCUUCGAAGGCAAUGUUUCAACUCCUGCAUCCCCCUAUUCGUCACCCCAGACACCAGGUACACCCCGUACCCCCGUGUUUAAUCCUCCGCGACCCCCUGUUUAUGCUCCUCCUCCUCCUCUUCCUCCUCCUCCUCCUCCUCCGCCUCCCCCUUCUCCUGCUCCUCCUGCAACAUCGCGAACUCCUGAUCCUUACAGCCAGCCACCUGUCACUCCUACAUCCAUCCCUGCCGCAUCUGGCUAUCCAUCGCCCAGAGGUUCUGAGACUCCUCGAACACCUCAGGAACAAGAGGUAGCCUUUGGACAGCAACCGGAAGUUAAUAGACAGUUGAGGGACUUACUGCAAAGACAACAGUUUAGUAAGAAGAUUGAAGGAGCCGGGGCCAACUGGGUUCAAGAUGGACAAAAUAAUACGGAGAACAACCAGCAACAGUUUGAAGCGGGUCAUGUGCAACUUCAGCAACAUUCUCAAGUACAAAACAACUCUAGUGAAGGUACUUUUAGACAUCCACUUCCGCCAGGCAUCAUUAGGCCCAGAAUACCCACUCAACCAAACGUCUUAAUAAGAAAUUCCAUUGGAAUAAACUCGCGACAUCCUGUAGCUGGAAAUAUUCAGAAUCCGAUUGACCAUCGUACCAGGACACUACUCCAGAAUAGGCCCCAAGUAGCUACCAAUAUAGCUGCUCAGCAGCAUUUCCAGGCAACUCAAAGCCUUCAAACACGAUUGCCAGCAGUAAGAAAUGCCAUUUCUGAAUCUUAUGACAUUUUGCAACAACAGAGAUUUACAGACGUGAAUCAGGCACAGAAUCAACGCAUCGCGCGAACGGGACAGGACAAUUUAAACCAAGGUAUUCGCGUGUUGAGCACAGCUCCAGGGAUGGUCCGAGCACCACUCAUCCCCACGACGAUGAGUGAGACCGCGGGAGUGGCUACUUCAGAAGCAUCCGAGAUCCCCGACAAUGUGACAGCUGAAUUGGAAAAGCUGGAACAGGAAGGAGCCGGGCCGAUAGUCGAAGUUGAGGGGGUCAGUGCAAUAUUGGGAGAUCUAGCAGAUGAUGAUGACGAACUGCUCGCUGAAAUGGGAGCGGACUUCAACAUUCUGGAAUAUGCGGAUCCUGAACUGGACACGAUCGCGGGUGGGAAGAAGACCAUUUUUGAUCUGGAACUCGAGCAAGUCGAAGUUGAUUCCAAAGACGAUAAGCAAAAAAAGGAAACCAGGGACGAAGAUCAGAAGCCAGAAUUGACUAGUUCAUCUUCUGAAAUUGCUGAUUCCUGCUCAACGAGCACGAGUUUGACAGAAAAUUCUAACGUGCCGACAAUGACAUCGCCGCAAGCGACAUCGCAGGCAAUGCAGGCGCAAGUAGUGCAACAGCAGAUGCAUCAGCAAGUGCAACAGGCGGCAGCGAUGGGCCGACCGAUACCACCAGGAACAAGGUUGCUUUCACCGGAUGGAGCGGUUGGUGUGGUGACUUCCACAAAUACGGUAACUGUGAGUUAUCCACCGAGUUUUCCUGGACAUCCGCAGAGACUUUCGCAGGCGCAUAUGCAAGUCUCGCAACAACAACGGCUAGGCAUGCGAGUUGCGGCGGGGGUGCCAAAUAUGCCGGGCAGAGUAGUUGCUGUAAAUCAUAUAAUUAGUCCCCGGAUGCCGUUGGCUCCGCCGCCGCCACCGCCACCGCCGCCACCACCACCACCCCCUUAUCCGGGACCACCACCGCCAUAUCCCGGACCGAUACAAAUGGGACUAUGUCCGGGUGGUGGUGGUGGUGGGCGAGGUAUGACACGGCCCUCAGUUCAUAUGACGGGGCACCAGGUACCGGUGGCGGGUCCACCAAUGGGACCCGUGGUGCUGCACCCUCACCGGAGACCUUUGCUUCUGCAGUCGUGUUCACAGGAGCAGCCAUUAUUGCUGGAGGAGCUGUUAGAGCAGGAGAAACGGGAACAAGAAAAACAGCAGCAACAGCAACAGCAACAACAGACCGAAAAUGUCACCGGAGGGAGUCUUUUGAGCGACAGCGAUUUCGAAAAACUUAAAGCUGAUGUUUUGGGCACUACAUCACCUCCUCAGGGUAUGGUGCCCGUGAUAAGACCACCUUGUACGGCGAGAUCACCUUCCGCACCUAACACUAACUGGCAACAAAGUGGUGUAGCUGCUGAAGGGACGACAAAACUAGCAGCGGCGCAAGUGGGGUCGAGACAGCCGAUUGCAACACAAACCCCGCCUGAACCAAGAGUGGCUAUGUUCAACAUUUCUCAAAAACCAGCACCACCUACUCCACCAGAAAAUAUAGUUAAUGAGCAAGAUCGGCAAACGCAGAUGCAUUAUGAACAAUGGCUCAAUAGUCAGCAGCAGAUAUUAUUGCAACAAUUGAAAUAUUAUGAGGGAGAGGUCCAAAAACUUCGUAAAAUAAGAAAGUCUCUCAAUAGUAAACAACGUCAACUUCGUAAAUCUGGUCACGAACUGACAGAGAACGACGCCGCUGAACUGCAACGAGUUUCUGUCGAGCAAGCCGCUCUUCAGAAACAUUUAGAUACUUCGCGUAAGCAACAUCGUCAACACGGCAUAUUGCUCCAGGAGUAUAAUAACAAACAACAACAACGACAGACUCAACCCCAACCAAACGAACCCUGUUCUCCGUUGAUGUCACCUUCUCAACAUUCUCCGAUGCAUUCUCCAGCGGCAUUGGUCUCUCAAAGUCCUGGUCCCAGUAUGAUUCAACAUUCCCCAGCAACUCCAUCAAUUGUUCAACAUAGUCCAGGUACACCGCUACUUCAACAUAGUCCAGGCAACCCUCAAUCAACUAAUCCAGGUACAAUGUCACCUCAUAAUGUUCAGCAACAAUCGCCAAGAAUUGGCACUCCUCAUUCUCAAGGUGACGAAAGUCCCUUCAGUCCUGGGCCAAUGCCUUCUCCGGGUCUGUGCAAUCCCAACACUACGCGAAUGACCUCGCCACAACACAGAGCCAUUAUUGGCGGAAGAUUAGCAACUUCUCCUGGUGCCUUUACAGCGGAAACGCGAAAUCAGCAACAAUUGAUGGCUGAUCAGGGUGUGAGAGUUCAUAGUUUACCUCAAAGGUUUGUCAGGCCACCAGAAGGGACGCAGAGGAGAGGGGUCGUUUAUAAUCCGCAGUCAGGACAACAACAAUUGCUGAAUCAACAGCAGCAUCAGCAGUUAUUGCAGAGACAGCAGAUUAUUCAGCAACAGCAUGAAGGUGUCGCUCAAGAUCAAGGACAAGGUACUGUCGUUCGGGGGACAUUGCAGCGGCAGCAAGUUUUUCAGCAACAGCAACAUGAAGGUGUUUCUCGGCAACAAAUUCUCCAGCAGCAACAACAGAAUGAUAUUUCUCCAGAUGGGCAGAAUGUUAUUACUCAAAGAAAUUUGCAAAUGGUUCAACAAAGACAGAUUCUUCAGCAGCAACAACAGACUGAUGUUUCUCAAGAAGGACAGAAUGUUGUUACUCAAAGAAAUUUGCAAACGGCUCGACAACACAUUAUCCAGCAGCAGCAGCAGCAGCAACAACAACAAGAAGGCAUUUCUCAAGAUGGACAAAAUAUUGUUACUCAAAGAUCGUUGCAAAUGACUCAGCAAAGACAGCAAAUUCUUCAGCAACCGCAACAAAUUCUUCAACAACAGCCUGAAGGUGUUUCUCAGGAAGGACAGAAUUCUAUUAAUCAAAGAUCGUUGCAAAUAGUUUCACAACAACGACAACAAAUUCUUCAGCAGCAGCAGCAGAAUGAUAUUAUUUCUCAAGAAAAUCAUAAUGUUGUUGCGGCUCAAAGAAAUUUGCAGAUGGCGCAGCAACGACAACAAAUUCUCCAACAGCACCAACAAAUUCUCCAGCAACAACAUGAAAUUGUUUCUCAGAGUAUUUCUCAAGAAGGACAAAAUUCUAUCGGUCCUAGAACGCUGCAAAUGAUUCAGCAACGGCAGCAGAUACUUCAGCAACAACAGGAAGGUAAUUCUCAGGAUGGGCAAAAUAUUACUGUUCAAAGGCAUCUGCAAAUUGCGCAGCGACAGCAGCAUGAAAGUGUUUCACAAAAUAUUUCUCAAGAAAUUGGACAAAAUGUUGUUCAAAGAACAUUACAAAUGGCACAACAUCGUCAACAAAUCCUUCACCAACAUCAGCAACAUGAAAAUAUUUCUCAAGAUGGACAAAAUACUGUUGCUCAAAGAAAUUUACAAAUAGCUCAACAGCGUCAACAGCAAAUUCUUCAACAACAGCACCAACAUGAAGAUGUUUCUCAAGACGGACAAUGCGCUAUUACUCAAAGAUCAUUGCAACUGGCACAACAACGACCACAAAUUUUACAGCAACAACAUGAAGGUGUUUCUCAAUCUGUUUCUCAAGAAGGACAAAAUACUAUUGCUCAAAGAUCUUUGCAAUUGGCUCAACGACAACAGAUUCUCCACCAACAGCAGCAUGAAGUUAUUUCUCAAGAAGGACAGGCUUCUAUUGCUCAAAGAUCACUUCAAAUGGUUCAGCAACGUCAACAAAUUCUUCAUCAACAACAUGAAGGUGUUUCUCAGGGUAUUUCUCAGGAAGGACAGAAUUCUAUUGGCACAAGAUCACUCCAAAUGGCUCAGCAACGACAGCAUAUCCUCCAACAACAACAACAACAGCAACGGCAAUUCUUGCAAAUGCAACAACAGCAACAAAAACCGCCCAAUUCGCCGAUGGUGUCCCAACCAUCAAACUCCCCCAGUCCGCAACUUCAUCAGCAACUUCAACAAGGUUAUGGCCAACCUCCAAGUUCACCCAUGGUGCAACAGACAACAAUGGGUUCUCCGAUGCUUCAACAACAGUUGAAUCCGACUUCACAACCUCCCAGUCCAAUGAACAGGAUUUCACCAAUGCUUCAUGGUAAUCAUCAUCAUUCCUCGACAACCAAUCAACCACCUAGCUCUCCUAUGAUGCCUAGAAGUCCUAUGGUAGCCGGAUCUCCUAUGCAGAUGCAGCGAAGACAGUCUACCGGAAAUAGCCCGGCUAUGCCAGACAGACCUCAGAGUGUGGAAAACCCUGGAACUCCAAGAACACCCCACACACCUCAUAAUUUUGUCCAACAAAAUGCUAAUUUAACUGCAACUUCAAAUGAUCAACAACAAGUUUCUCAGCAAAUUUCUCAGCAAGUUUCUCAAGAACAAAGUUCUUUAUCAGAUAAUCUUCCUAGAGGUGGAGGAAACUCCAAUAAUUCCUUAAAUCCAAUUCCUUUUCUUGAUUUUGGAAAGCCCGGAUAUUUUAAAUUAGGAUUGAGGGGCGGCUCACCAGGUAAUCAGGAGCAGGAUUGUCAACAAGUUUCUCAAGAACAUAUUUUUUUAUCAGAAAAUUCUACUAAAAAUGGGGAAAGCCUCAAUAAAUCGACAAAGCCAAUACAUUUUCCUAAUUUUGGACGGUUUGGAUGGUUCAAGUUGGGCUUAAGGGGUGGAUCGCCGAUGUGGUCGAGCAAGGCAGAAAGCAGUAAGGGUGGUAAAGGAUCGGAAACGUCCCAGGCGAAAAAAGAACAGUCAUUGGAAGAGAAAGCAAAUACUUCUACGAAUCGGAAAACCACCAGAAUCAGCUCGCUGGUCUGUGCUGAUUACAAUGAUUUCGACGACGAUUCGCAUACGCCGCCACAGGCUUCACCAACAACUUUGGAGGUGAAAUCAGCUGUUCAGAGCUCUUCUUUAACUUCUUCAACUUUAGAUAAUGGAUCUCUAACUUUGGAAAGUCCUGGAGAAAAGCUGGAACAUCUUCCAGAUACGACAGAUUAUGAUGAUGAUAAAACUAUAGUCAAUACCGAGGUGACUUUGAGUUCCACAGCUCAACGAGAUAGUGACGAUAUCACUGUGAUUGAACAGUUUGGCGACUCGGAGUUGGUUGAUGUUAUUUCAGGAACUUUAGAAGGUGAUAUGCAGGAAGAAUAUGUUCUCUUUGAACCUGGAAUGGUGGUGGAUCUCUCUGCUGAUAGUAACGAUUCUCUUUGUCACGCUUUAGUGAACGAUGCUGGUCAAGGUCACGAUUUAGUGCAGAUUUUAGAAAUCGAUAAUUCUGAAUCACAAUCAGAAGAACCGAUUUUAAGUGACGAAGAUCUAGCCCCGUCUCAUUCAAGGAAUAAAAAAGGUCUUAGACUCGAUAUAGUGAGGACCUUGCAGUCUGGAAAGAAGCUAGUCGCUGUAACUGAUACUCCAGAAUCUCCAGAUGAAGAAGAACUUCGAGUUGAUCCUUCUCCAGGUCCUUAUUUGGAUCAGUCUCCUGAUCAAGAACUUAUGGUAUCUUUAGUAAGUGAAUCUGAAGUGGUUAUCAUUGAUCCUACGACGAAAUCUCCUGAAGACAAUCUUUCUAAGGGUUCUUGCGACGAAGAGAUUGAAAAAACUGAUAACAUACAAACUGAUGCUCCCAAGGAAAAUACAUCUAAUGAAGGUUCGUCAGAUGAUCAAACUAGAUUUUCAAAACAAAACAAAAGUCCUACAAACUUUAUUUUUUCAGAUAAAUCUUAUACCAAAAUAUCAGUCUCAACCGUACCAACAAAUAUUAAUAUAACAGUCUCAAAAUCGGCGGUUUCCUUAAUAAAUACAAUUUCUUCAAACUCGACUUCCAGUUCAGUUUCUAUUAGUUCCAGUUCUCAACUGAAUCAAGUCUCAAUUCAACCAAUUGUGACAGAAGCUAAAAUAACAGAUCAGUUUGACUUGAAGGAAGUUUCCUCGAGCUCUUUUAGCAAUCAAAGAGGUGUCACAUUGUCAGCGAUGGCAAGUAUUGUGGCGGAUGCAAAGAUUGCCGCGAAGCUUAGUCAAACCGCUUUGGAAAAUAUCUCCAAUUCUCAGCAAGAAAAAUUGAACCCGAAAAUCAUCUCUGCCAAUGAAAUGCCGAAAAUAUUAUUCUCAGAUAAGCCUUUGACAACCUUUUCGAGUACGAUAAAUACAACGGAAUCUUUGAAUAAUUCUACGAAGUUAAUAUUAAGUGUACAACCAACUUCUGUGACGCUUUCUACUCCGAAAAUGUCGAUUCCGGACCUAUCAAAAAAGGAUAUUACUUCAAAGAGUAAGGAGAAAUUAACAGAAAAUCUGGAAGGCGUAGUGAAGAAGAAGGAGGAGAAAAAGAUCCUGGACAAAAUCAAAGAUGAAAGCGAUUCUUCGGAUACAUCAUCAAAUACUUUUUCAGGGUCAAUUGAAGAGAAGAAAACUGAUCCGUUAAAUACUACAGACGAACUGGAGAGCAUGUUAGAAGCCAUUCACAAUCCUGCAGAAAAUGUUGGAAAUAAGAAUGAUACUCCAACGACGAUUCUGAAAAGGAUGUCACCCGUUACCGAUGAUCUAUCGCUUGUCAACAUCUUGGAAAACGACACUGAACCGGUGGAGAAUGAUAAAGAACAGACGUCUCCAGAUUCUGAUACGCAAAAAGCAACGAAUAAAUCAGGAGAAAUUCAGAAGAACAUUGAAGAGACUAAUAAUGACAAAAAUACACUUUCAAAUGAAAAGAAUCGUCAGGAAGAACUUUGUACCGGAAUGGAGAAUUCUAAACCAUUUCUUCAGCAUUGUUUGAAUGAAGAAAAAACUUUAAUGGAGGAAUCUUCUGAUGAUAUUUUAGAUAUGUUGCAUAAUAUUAUUUCGUCAAAACCAGAAAUGGCAAACAGUAGCGAGCUAAAAUCAAGUCUCAUUUAUCAGAUGCCAACUCCGUUGGAUACAUUGCCUUUAAAUAUCCUUCAAGAUUCGUUGAUGGAUUUAGAGCAAGAUAAUCUCGAAAAUGAUCAAGUUUCUUCAACUGAAGCUAAAAAUGAAAUAAAAAGUCAAAAUUCUGAAGUGAAAAAGAGUUCUUCACCGACGAGCCAAGCUUCCACUUUGGUAGCUAGUACCGUAGCGCAAUUGCAAAACACGACAACAGUUCCUCAUUUAUCGCCACUCUCGAAACCAACAGAAUUGACUUCCAAUGUGGUCAACGUAUCCCAUCAAUUGAGGACACUGUUAUCAUCUAUCGGGCAAAGUAAUCAGACAACAAUGAGUCAAACUGGAGUGGUCACCAUGGUUUCUUCAGUGAAAUCUGGAAGCGUUUUGUCUACUUCUAACCCUUUGUCGACAUUGAAUUUAUUUAAUAAUAAUAAUAAUAAUAACAACAACAAUAAUAAUAAUAAUAAUGUUCAGAGUGGUGUUUCGACUUUGACAAGAAUAGAUCAAGGUCGCCCUCAACCUUCAAAAGAUUCAGAAUUGACCACGAAAGAGAAAAAAGAAUUAAAAGAAUGUAGCGGAGUUAUUACUACAGUUUCGAAGAUUGGUAAUAGUGAGCAGAUCUUUAGAGUGACUUCUUCAGCAACAACUUGUCAGACUACUACGGUUUCUAAUCUUUCAAGUACUUCUUCGGGUAUAGUUACUUCUAGAGCCAUUACAACCUCCAUUCCUGUUACUUCAAACGCCAUGUUGAAUGCUAUGCUGGCUGGAACUACUUCCUUGAAACCUUCAGUUGCUGGUCAUGGUCGAAGCAACACAGUAUCAACCCAGUCUGCUAAUCAUUUAAGUUCUGUUUUGCCAUCGACUUCAAUACAACGCUCGCAGAAUUUUCAGGCGAUCCUCCAAGUCAGUUCAGGAUGUUCCACACCUCGAGUACUGGUAAAUACUAGCUCAGCCGUAACCAGCUCAAUGCAAUGUGUUAGGACUAUUGUGCCACCUUUGGCAACUUCUAGUGGAGUUUCAAGUACUAGUAUUCUUCAAUCGACUUUAUCGCAAGCUCCAAGUCCCCUUUUGACCUCAAAUCAGAAUCAGUAUAAAUCUGGUCUUCUACCAAUGGACAAUAAUAAUCUUGAAAAUCAAUCUACGGUGAAAGUGAAAAAGGAUCCUGAAGAGUCUAAAAUUCAAGAAAAGAAAGAGAUAGAUUCUAGCAAAAGUUCCUCUAAUUCUUUAAGAUCAGAGGAAUCCCAAAAUGUGUUGCUAAAACAAUUAUUGCAAAAUACAGCAUGUGCCACAACUUCAGGAUCGUCGCAAGGGCCCAGUCUGCCGAUAGUUCCUUCGCUGGAAGCACAACUGGCUCGGCCAGUCGUACUUCCUACGUCACCUUCUUUGCUUCCUCAGUUACUGAAUGACACCCCAACACCGAAGCCAGUAAUAAAUAAACAAGUUCUUGCGAGGGAAACUUCCUUUUUGUCGCAUUCAGUGACACCCUUAAAGGUUCAAAGUUCACCAACUAAAGAAGAAUCUGCUAAACCUCCUCUUUCAUCGUCUAGUGCGAUUACGACACAAAGAGCACAAACUGAAAGCUUAAAGCAACAAACAACAAAGUCAAUUCCUACUUCUUCAGCAAGUUCUUCAGGAAAUUCUAUAUCAAGUCAACAGCCAGUUUCUUCAACAAUAACAACGACAAAAACGUCUCCGAAUAUUUCUAUGAAUCAACAAGAGACUUCUGGAAGUCAAAACAAACUGGGAACUGGGAUCAGCGAAGGGCCUCAGACUCAACAACGUGUUGCUGUUUCCAUUUCGAAGGUUGGUUUACAAAAUAAGCCAUUGGUAACCUCGGGAAUAGCCUCGAAGAGUGUCCAACUAUCGACCAGUAACUCUAGUAACGUAUCUGGGCCACAAACUCAAAUCCAACAAUCCCAAAAUCAAACCGCAGUGGCGCACAAGCCAACUGGUGUUGUUGUACCAGUGGUACAGCAACAAGUUCCUCCUUCUUCGGCUGCUUCCGUUCAGCAACAAUCUGUUCAACAACAAGUGCCUCAUAACCACGGGGCCGUUGCGGUUCCACCACAGACCGUUAUCGGGUCCGCUGCCCCAUCGGGUUCCAAUACAGUGCCUUUAGUCGAGGUGAAAAAGGAAAUCGGUCUUGAGGAUGUUUUGUCCACUGCUGGCACGUCAGCCAGUCAGUUGCAGACGGAUACCAAAGACUUUCUUACUACCAAAGAGGAACUCAUGGACGGCGCAAUGGAUGAUAAAACUGAUCUUAAGAAGUUGAAGAGGAGACAGUAUCAACAGAAGAGAAAGCAGAGCCAGGGAAAAGAUGCAGUAACUGCACCUCAAAAAAAACGGUCCCGUAAAGUUUCGCGCCUUGAUGAGGAUUAUGACACAUUUGUGGAUAAUUUGAUGACUCAGUUACGGCAACUUCAGCCGAUGGCGGUUUUAGAACCCCAUCUGAGUCGUAAUUACGGAGUGUGUCCGAUUUUUGGUUGCGGAGACCUUGUUAAAAUUGGAAGUCAAAAAGAUUAUAACGCUAGAAUUGGUGAUUUGCUUGGAAAUUAUGGAUCAGCCAGUUUACCUGGAAUUUCUGAUCACUAUAAUACACAGCCAUUUGGAGAACUAGACCCUUUGCCACCCCAACAACCCCCGACUACGCAGAGAGGAUUUUAUGAUCAGGAAUUUCCGCCUUUGAAAUUGGAUGAUACUGAUGAUAAGAAAGAGAAUAUGACGACAAAUCGCGAUAUGGACUCUCCUGAUACCAUCGUGAGUUCGUCCUCGCCUGAAUGUAUUAUACCAGAAUUUAUGCACCGUUUCCCCGGACUGCGAUUGAUCGAGGAAGAAUCCGAUGAGGAGGCGGAAUGGUUGAAACGUGUAUCACCCGUUAUACCUCUGAUUUCGCCGAUUCCAAUUAAACUGAAGCCUACUUACUUAAAAGAUGCAGCUAAACAAGACAAGGAGAAUUUUGGGGUGUCCAAGCUUGGCAAGUCUCCUCCGAUUCCUUUACGAGAAAGCGGAAAUGUCACCGUGACUUUAACUUUAAAUAGUCAGGCUGCCGAUGAUAUAAUGGGUGUACUUAAAGAUCUUGCUAAUAUUCUGAACAUAACACCACCUGCUGGUUAUCAAAUAGUCGAACGCACUACUACUCCUCCCAGUCAGAAACUAGGGCUGUACAGGACGAAAGGAAAGGACGGCAAAGAGGGUACUCCAAUCGAUAUACAAAGCAUUCUGAACGGUGCAGCGAAGUUCUGUCGUCAUUGUGAUGUUGUGAUUCUUAAUAGUUUGAUUCGAAAGAAAGCAUCAGAUCUGCCAUUCUUAAGCAAAGAAGAAGCUGAACCAGGCGAUGAACUUUGCUUUUGCUCAGCGGCUUGCUAUAUGCAAUUUGCUCUCAUUCAUCGAACACCGUCCAAUACUCAGGAUAAGGCUGCGACGAUAGUAGAUCAUCUAUGUCAUAAAACAGAAGCAAAAAUGUUAGAAGAUGACCUGAAGAGUCUGAAGAAAUUCCCCAUAAAACAGCAACAGCAGCAGAUGGAGAGGCUUGAGAAUAUAGAGAUCGGUAAUGAAUCAACGACAGAAAUCAAAGUGAAAACUGAAAUGUUGGAGAAUGUCGAAAGUGCAGAAAAUGAAGAAAAACGGUCAAAGAAACAUUCGAUUAAUGAAGAAAUCGGUGAUUCUAUCGAGUCUCAACCACCUGCGAAGAUUUGGAAAGGUGUGAGAUAUAAAACGUGGUCGAUGGGAAUAAUGCAACCUGCAACCAAAUUUAAGAAACCCACUGAUAGAGAAAUUACCGAGACGCUGUUUCGUAUGGGAAUCGCAGUAGCUCCCGCAAAAGCUGAAGACACCCGUCGUUGCGUAUUUUGCAAAAGUCAGGGCGAUGCAACAGCUGAUGGGCCAGCCCGACUACUCAACUUCGAUGUGGAUAAAUGGGUACAUCUCAAUUGUGCAUUAUGGUCUAACGUUGUAUACGAGGCACAGAGUGGCGCACUUAUGAGACUAGAUGAAGUCCUGCAGAACAAUCUCAUACAAAUUUGCAUUAUUUGUGAAAAAUCCGCUGCCACGGUCAAGUGUUACAAACCAAGGUGCACCAACUGGUACCACCUGAUAUGUGCUAUCAAAGACGGCUGCGGUUUUUAUAAAGAUAAGACCAUGGCUUGUCCUCAACAUCUUAUAAAAGAUAAAGAUAAGGAACUCACUACGCUUUCCGUCUACCGUCGCGUCUACGUCCAACGCGAUGAAAAUCGUCAGGUUGCUGCGGUGAUGCACCAUUCCGACAAUAAACAUCUACUUCGUGUAGGUUCUCUCAUCUUUCUCAGCGUCGGCCAGCUGCUUCCUCAUCAGUUGCAAAAUUUCCACACGCCCAACUAUAUUUAUCCGGUGGGCUACAAAAUCGUGCGUUUUUAUUGGAGUAUGCGCAGACCGAACAAACGUUGCCGUUAUGUCUGUUCGAUUCACGAUGUUUCCGGUCGUCCGGAAUUUCGUGUCCUAGUUCAAGAACCUCUUCAAGAGGAUGUCGAACUGAGAGACGCUACUCCGCGAGCAGUUUGGAGUCGAAUCUUGGAGCCACUAGCAGAAUUGAGGAGAAGUACGAAUUCUGUUCAACUAUUCCCGAGAUACGUGUCAGGAGAAGAUCUGUUUGGUUUAACAGAGCCAGCAGUAGUGCGGGUACUGGAAAGCUUACCUGGAAUUGAGACUCUAACCGAUUACAGAUUUAAAUAUGGUCGUAACCCGUUGUUGGAGUUGCCUCUGGCCAUCAAUCCAACCGGGAGUGCACGGACGGAGGCACGUUUACGCAACCAGCUACCAUGGAAACGACCGCACACGCAACGCACAGGAGGCUUUGCUUCACGUGGAGUGCCAUUUGGUUUGCCAACCUGUGGUGCUGCUGCAACGCUGGGCGGCGGAGUCUCCUCAACAUUAGUCGCAGCAGCUGCCGCUGGCGAGGCUGCUUCCUGUCCAUACUCGAAACAAUUUGUACACUCAAAAAGCUCGCAAUACAAGAAGAUGAAGCAGGAAUGGCGUAAUAAUGUUUAUUUGGCGAGAUCGAAGAUUCAGGGUCUGGGAUUAUAUGCGGCGAGAGAUCUGGAGAAGCACACGAUGGUGAUCGAGUACAUUGGAGAGAUAAUUAGAUCAGAGUUGGCGGAAACAAGGGAGAAACAAUAUGAGGCUAGAAAUCGCGGUAUAUACAUGUUCCGAUUGGAUGAGGAGCGAGUGGUGGAUGCGACUUUGUGUGGCGGACUCGCUCGCUACAUCAAUCAUUCCUGCAAUCCCAACUGUGUCGCCGAGAUCGUUGAAGUUGAGCGCGAUCUUAGGAUUAUCAUUUUUGCCAAGCGUCGAAUCUCGCGUGGUGAAGAGCUGGCAUAUGACUACAAAUUUGACAUCGAGGAUGAUCAGCACAAGAUCGCAUGCGCUUGCGGCGCACCCAAUUGUCGUAAGUGGAUGAACUAAACAAACUAAGUUGACGACAACAGACAGAAAGAAACAGGAAAGAAGAAAGAAGAAAGAAUAAAACUCAGUCUCUCCACCCUGACCAUUGUUAUCAUUGUUGCUAUGUUAUAUAAGUUUGUAGGAGUGAUCCAGGGUUAAAACUAAGGGAUAAAUAAAUCGAAGAAGUUGUGGUGCUAAUCAGAGACGCCAUCACAUUCCUCCAAAGUGUUGUACAAUAUAUAUUAUAAUUGUCGUUGUAUUCAGAAAAAAUAUCAAUUGCUUGUAUAUUAUUGUAUACGAGAAGAGAAAAAAUGUUGAAAGAUCGAGAAAAAGGGGAAAUGGGUUGUGUACGCGAAUGAAAGAAGAAAAGAGAAAGUUCACUCUUUGUGCUUUUGGUCCGAUGAUGAUUUGUUGUAAUAUAGAACAUUUAUCUUAUAUAAUUAUUAUUAUUAUCAUGUAUAAUUAUAAUGAUAUAGAUACACACGCAUACCGUGUGCACCGUACUGUUUCUAUGUAUGUGUGCAUAUAUAUAUAUAUAUAUAUACAUACACAUAUAUAUACAUACACACACAUUUUAUAUAUAUACACAUAUAAUAUGAAGUAGUUUUAUUUUCGAAUCACCCGAUAUAUGUAUGUAAAGCGCAAUUGAAAAAAUCUGAAACGAUUUGGAAGAAUUAUAUACAAUUAUUAUACCGAUUUCAUUAUGCGACUGAUUUUUAAUAAAAAAAUAUUCCCUUUUC